ensembl:lncRNA
AGGAAACAAAGUGAAAUAGUAAAUCUCCAUUUCUAAUAUGGUGUGGUGAGGAUAUUCUGGGAAGAGUGCUGCUGCCUCUAUGUUGUAAAGGCAUACCAGCAGCUUCAAACUCUACAUCUGAAAGCUAAACAUAGUUUCCUAGCAGCCCUUAAAGGGCAUUUUGGCAGUAAGUCAUCCAAAGUGGCCUUCAGUGGCUCCUGAUGUACUUUUAACUAUGCACACUUGAUAGCUUAGAUUUUAAAAUUUUCUUAAAUUGGAAUAGGAAGUUGGGCUGACCUCCUGAAGAUUAAUUCCUGCUUCCAAUGUAUUAUCAAACAGCAACCGGGGACUCAGAUGGGUUCUUGCCAAAAAGAAAAAAACCCAGCAAUUUAGAAAAGAGAGGGAGAGUCCAAUGAGCACCUUCACUUGAGUUAGCUGUUGCACUUAUCUUUUCCCCAGAAAGCUUGAUGAGAAUGUGUUUUGCCAUAGUAUUUUUAUGUACUCCAUGACAGAAGGGAACAGUGCAUAGCAUAAAAUCAUUUUCAUAUACAGAAUCCUAUUGAAAGGCAGUUGGGCAAACUGGGAGACGAAAGCUCCGACAGAUAGCUGCUAUGUCAUACAGACUGACAGGUGCUCAGUGGCAUGAUCAGGUGUGCACAAAGGCAGCGGCCGUGCUCAGCACCAGGUUGACAGGGCCACAAGCAGAUCAGAUGUCCUCUCCCUGAGCCCCCCUGGAUACCUCUCUGCUCCUCUCCCAGAGGUCACAGGAGAGAUAGGAGAGGUCCCCGAGCAGGCAAUGGAAGCACUGAAAGGGAGGUGAGGCUUGAAUACAGAUAAGAGGAGUGAAAACUAAUUAUCUGGAAAAGCAAUGCGAUUGUGGGGUAUAAAAUAAUGACUGGAAAGUGCCUUUUAUUUACUGCAAGGCAAUAAUAGCAGAGGGCAGUUGAUAACGCUGCCAGGGCGACAUUUUAGGGCUCUUUAAUCUAGCAGAAAGAGGCGUAACAAGCAGCAGGGACCGCAAUUUAAAGCGAGGUGAAUGUAAAUAAGAAAUGAGACACAUUGCAUGGGGCGUGCUGGCACACAUUGAAGGGAGUGGGGGGAGCCUGGGGCUCCUUAUGCCUUUGUGUCCAGGCUGGCUGCUUCUCUGGGAGAUGGACACAAAGUGCUGAGCUCAGAAUGGUGGCACAUUCGUUUCGCCCAGGGCUGAAGCACGGGGAAGCUCCUGGUCCCUAAGGCUGCCCAAAGCGCUGCCUAGCUCUGGCGUGAGCAGCAGUGUAAAUACUGCACAACGGGCAGGAAAAACACCUGCAGGUGAUGGUUAGGCAGUAAUGUUUUCCCAGAAGGCGGAAAAUCUGUCAGCCUGGGCUUUAUCAUUGUAAACAGUUUUUCUUUUAAAAGCAAACAAACAAACUGGUAAGAAGUCUCCUAGUAACAGGUGCUGAGCGCCGUGCUGCAGCCCAUAAGUCACAGCUGACUGUUUAUCCGACCACUAUUUAUAGCCGGUUAAACCUCUCCAUCCCAGCUUGUGUUUCCCACUUGCUGUAUCUUCCUAAUUGAUGUAUUUACUGCCAGUGCUUUAAUAAAAC